rnacentral:lncRNA from 1 species
AGCCUUCUUCUGAAGAAAGAGAUGUAUGAAUCAAAUACAUUCAAAAACAAUUGCUCCAAGGAGUAUUAUAAUAAUUUCUUUCACUGCCCUAACACAAUCUUCUGAUAAACUCUUAAGAUUUCUAUCUGGGAAAGAAGAUUUUCCAAGAAGAGAUUGUGGUACUCAACACUAACAACUCCCUCUAGACAUCAGACAUGCUCCUGUUCAGAUCUACACACUUUCUUAUGACAGCACCUAGAGGAAGAAAUGAAUGGGAUGGAACUUACUGAACAGCUACUAUAUAGCAGAAAGAGAUCAAGGCACAGACAUCAGAGUCCAAGUCUUGCUGUGAGGACACAGGGAGAAGACAGCCAUCUACAAAACAAGGAUAGAGCCUCACAAUAAAAACCACCCCGCAGCUACCUUGAUCUUGAACUUCUAAUC